ACUGCGGAGGAUCAUUAGUGAAACAGAAGACCCAUAUUUUGAUUGGGCUUCAACCCUUCACAUCCAAACACUGUGCACUGCCCCAGAUGAAUGCUGGCUCGGGGCCUUGUGCCCAAGCUUGGCUAUUAGUCUGUUUCAUUUCCAAACCCUGGUGAUUGUAUGUGUUCAUUCAUAAUUAAAUAAAACUUUCAACAACGGAUCUCUUGGCUCCCGCAUCGAUGAAGAACGCAGCGAAAUGCGAUAAGUAAUGUGAAUUGCAGAACUCAGUGAAUCAUCGAAUCUUUGAACGCAUCUUGCGCUCCAUGGUAUUCCGUGGAGCAUGUCUGUCUGAGUGUCAUGAGCUUCUCAACCUGAAGGGCUUGCUUUGCCGAGCUCUGUGGGAUUGGAUCAUGGGUGUCUGCUGGACAUGUGAAUCAGCUCGCUCUAAAUGCAUCAGCGGUCACUCGUCCCUCUGUGGUUUGACCUGGCGUGAUAGACUCUUCGCUGGGGACUCCCUUAGUUGGGUGCCAAAGAGGGAGAGUGUUGCUAACAGCACUACUCGAAUUGUCUAAGUGUUAGACCUCAGAUCGGGCAGGACUACCCGCUGAACUUAAGCAUAUCAAUAAGCGGAGGAAAAGAAACUAACAAGGAUUCCCCUAGUAACGGCGAGUGAAGCGGGAAGAGCUCAAAUUUGUAAUCUGGCUGUUUCACAGUCCGAGUUGUAAGCUAGAGAAGUGUUAUCUGCGCCGGACCACUUAUGAGUCUAUUGGAAUAUAGCGUCAUAGAGGGUGAGAACCCCGUUCAUGAUGUGGACCACCGGUGCUUUGUGUUACACUUUCAAAGAGUCGAGUUGUUUGGGAAUGCAGCUCAAAUUGGGUGGUAAAUUCCAUCUAAAGCUAAAUAUUGGCGGGAGACCGAUAGCGAACAAGUACCGUGAGGGAAAGAUGAAAAGCACUUUGGAAAGAGAGUCAAACAGUACGUGAAAUUGUUGAAAGGGAAACGCUUGAAGUCAGACAUGCUUGUGGGGUUCAGCCUUUGGGUGUAUUCCUCCAUUUUGCAGGCUAGCGUCAGUUCUGUGGGCUGGAAAAGGGCUCGAGGAAGGUGGCAUCUCUGGGUGUGUUAUAGCCUCUUGCUUGAUACAGCCUGUGGGACUGAGGAUCGCAGCGCGCCCUUGUGGCAUUGGCUUUGGCCUUUCGCGCUUAGGAU
rnacentral:rRNA from 1 species